rnacentral:rRNA from 1 species
CGGUACCCUGGGAAUAAGGAUCGGCUAACUCCGUGCCAGCAGCCGCGGUAAUACGGAGGAUGCAAGCGUUAUCCGGAUUCAUUGGGUUUAAAGGGUGCGUAGGCGGACUAUUAAGUCAGUGGUGAAAUCCUGCAGCUUAACUGCAGAACUGCCAUUGAUACUGAUAGUCUUGAGUUUGGUUAAGGUAGGCGGAAUGUGUAAUGUAGCGGUGAAAUGCUUAGAUAUUACACAGAACACCAAUUGCGUAGGCAGCUUACUGACCCCUUACUGACGCUGAGGCACAAAGCGUGGGGAUCGAACAGGGAUUAGAUACCCCUGGUA